rnacentral:misc_RNA from 1 species
GAUGAAGAACGUAGCGAAAUGCGAUAAGUAAUGUGAAUUGCAGAAUUCAGUGAAUCAUCGAAUCUUUGAACGCACAUUGCGCCCCUUGGUAUUCCAUGGGGCAUGCCUGUUCGAGCGUCAUUUGUACCUUCAAGCUCUGCUUGGUGUUGGGUGUUUGUCUCGCCUCUGCGCGUAGACUCGCCUCAAAACAAUUGGCAGCCGGCGUAUUGAUUUCGGAGCGCAGUACAUCUCGCGCCUUGCACUCAUAACGACGACGUCCAAAAGUACAUUUUUACACUCUUGACCUCGGAUCAGGUAGGGAUACCCGCUGAACUUAAGCAUAUCAAUAAGCGGAGGA